UAUUUGAGUGUGAAAAACCAUAACGUUGCAGUUAGCCAUUGUUAGCUAAUGUUAACCAGAUAACAUCUAUCAACCAAGUUCUGUCUCCAACGCGAAUUAAACACUACCUAGGGUGGUGGAUGUUCCAGCCUACCUACAGAGGAGGAGGUGUGUACUGCAGAGACAGAUGUGCCUGAUAAAGCUCCGGGCCUGUCUGACUGUCUCCCUGUACCAUCAACGCCGAUUCCAGUCAAGCUACUCCUUUACUGAACUGCAUCGUCAUCUAGCUGUGACCCUCUUCCAUGAACUGCCAGCUCCCUGAAUUUGUUUUCUUUUUUUUUUUUAAGUGGUAGGUUCUGUAUGAAAAGUGCUAUAUGAAAUAAAUAUAUUUUUAUUACAUA